rnacentral:rRNA from 1 species
UACGUAGGGGGCUAGCGUUGUCCGGAAUCAUUGGGCGUAAAGCGCGUGUAGGCGGUUCGGUAAGUCCGCUGUGAAAGUCGGGGGCUCAACCCUCGAAUGCCGGUGGAUACUGUCGAACUAGAGUGCGGAAGAGGCGAGUGGAAUUCCUGGUGUAGCGGUGAAAUGCGCAGAUAUCAGGAGGAACACCAAUUGCGAAAGGCAGCUCGCUGGGGACGUAACUGACGCUGAGACGCGAAAAGCGUGGGGGAGCAAAACAGG